UACGGAGGGGGCCAGCGUUGUUCGGAAUUAUUGGGCGUAAAGCGCACGUAGGCGGAUCCUUAAGUCGGGGGUGAAAUCCUGGAGCUCAACUCCAGAACUGCCUUCGAUACUGAGGAUCUCGAGUCCGGGAGAGGUGAGUGGAACUGCGAGUGUAGAGGUGAAAUUCGUAGAUAUUCGCAAGAACACCAGUGGCGAAGGCGGCUCACUGGCCCGGUACUGACGCUGAGGUGCGAAAGCGUGGGGAGCAAACAGG
rnacentral:rRNA from 1 species